GAUGAACGCUGGCGGCGUGCCUAAUACAUGCAAGUCGAGCGAACGGACGAGAAGCUUGCUUCUCUGAUGUUAGCGGCGGACGGGUGAGUAACACGUGGAUAACCUACCUAUAAGACUGGGAUAACUUCGGGAAACCGGAGCUAAUACCGGAUAAUAUUUUGAACCGCAUGGUUCAAAAGUGAAAGACGGUCUUGUUGUCACUUAUAGAUGGAUCCGCGCUGCAUUAGCUAGUUGGUAAGGUAACGGCUUACCAAGGCAACGAUGCAUAGCCGACCUGAGAGGGUGAUCGGCCACACUGGAACUGAGACACGGUCCAGACUCCUACGGGAGGCAGCAGUAGGGAAUCUUCCGCAAUGGGCGAAAGCCUGACGGAGCAACGCCGCGUGAGUGAUGAAGGUCUUCGGAUCGUAAAACUCUGUUAUUAGGGAAGAACAUAUGUGGAAGUAACUGUGCACAUCUUGACGGUACCUAAUCAGAAAGCCACGGCUAACUACGUG
rnacentral:rRNA from 1 species